rnacentral:rRNA from 1 species
UACGUAGGGGGCAAGCGUUGUCCGGAAUCAUUGGGCGUAAAGAGCGCGUAGGCGGCCCAGUAAGUCCGCUCUGAAAGUCAGGGGCUCAACCCCUGAAUGCGGGUGGAUACUGCUGGGCUAGAGUCCGGAAGAGGCGAGUGGAAUUCCUGGUGUAGCGGUGAAAUGCGCAGAUAUCAGGAGGAACACCGGUGGCGAAGGCGGGUCUCUGGGCAAUAACUGACGCUGAGGAGCGAAAGCGUGGGGAGCGAACAGG